CGAAGGGAGAACAGGUGUGUGUAUUUGUACUGAUUACUACCAGAGACAAACAGCAGAGAGAGGCUUGUCCUUGUCGGGACGGAGGUGUUGGAUGAAACCGUUCCCUCCCUUUCUGCAGAUAGAGACGGCCAGGCCUACAGUGCUGGACACACACUCACUCACACUCCAACUGAAUUUGGCUGCAAGUACAUGUGCCUCUUCCCACCUACCAGGUCACUGGUAAUGUAGCCCUCCCUCACAAACACAUCCAUGAUGCUUCCGGGCCUCUCUGGGAGUUUCCAUAUGUUGUGAUGAUUUCAACACAAAAGCCCAGCUCUGAGACUCGGUAAAGAUCACAGCUUCUGACGGACUGACUUCCAAAACCGUGAACUGCUGUGCUGUCUACUAGCUACUAGGGAUGGACAUUUUUAGUCAUUUUGUUUACAUGAGUACUCAGUAGGUGAGUACAUCCUGUAUGCGUCAGACAUGGCAUUGUUUCACAAGUCACUUUUUUGGAAGCAUUUUGUAUAUUUAUUAUUAUAUGUCCCAUUAAAACAUAAGGCAAGACUUGCUGCCAAACUCAAUAA